GUACUCUCGUUUCUCUUGAGAUCAUAUAAAUCUUUUGCCUUUUACUAAACAUUUUUGUGGAGAGGAACAACUCUGAGUUUUAAAUCAAUAAACUAUUCUAGGGUACUGAAAAAGAGAAAAU
rfam:Loxodonta africana unplaced genomic scaffold scaffold_2, whole genome shotgun sequence.